UGACGGUAUCAUAUGAAUAAGCACCGGCUAACUCCGUGCCAGCAGCCGCGGUAAUACGGGGGGUGCAAGCGUUACUCGGAAUCACUGGGCGUAAAGAGCAUGUAGGCGGGUGAAUAAGUUGGAAGUGAAAUCCUAUAGCUUAACUAUAGAACUGCUUCCAAAACUGUUCACCUAGAGUAUGGGAGAGGUAGAUGGAAUUUCUGGUGUAGGGGUAAAAUCCGUAGAGAUCAGAAGGAAUACCGAUUGCGAAGGCGAUCUACUGGAACAUUACUGACGCUCAGAUGCGAAAGCGUGGGGAGCAAACAGGAUUAGAUACCCUGGUAGUCCACGCCCUAAACGAUGUACACUAGUUGUUGCUAUACUAGAUAUGGCAGUAAUGCAGUUAACACUUUAAGUGUACCGCCUGGGGAGUACGGUCGCAAGAUUAAAACUCAAAGGAAUAGACGGGGACCCGCACAAGCGGUGGAGCAUGUGGUUUAAUUCGACGAUACGCGAAAAGCCUUACCUGGCCUUGACAUAGUAGGAAUCUUUAAGAGAUUAGAGAGUGCUAGCUUGCUAGAACCUACAUACAGGUGCUGCACGGCUGUCGUCAGC
rnacentral:rRNA from 1 species